rnacentral:rRNA from 1 species
AUGAACGCUAGCUACAGGCUUAACACAUGCAAGUCGAGGGGCAGCAUGGUCUUAGCUUGCUAAGGCCGAUGGCGACCGGCGCACGGGUGAGUAACACGUAUCCAACCUGCCGUCUACUCUUGGACAGCCUUCUGAAAGGAAGAUUAAUACAAGAUGGCAUCAUGAGUCCGCAUGUUCACAUGAUUAAAGGUAUUCCGGUAGACGAUGGGGAUGCGUUCCAUUAGAUAGUAGGCGGGGUAACGGCCCACCUAGUCUUCGAUGGAUAGGGGUUCUGAGAGGAAGGUCCCCCACAUUGGAACUGAGACACGGUCCAAACUCCUACGGGAGGCAGCAGUGAGGAAUAUUGGUCAAUGGACGAGAGUCUGAACCAGCCAAGUAGCGUGCAGGAUGACGGCCCUAUGGGUUGUAAACUGCUUUUAUAAGGGAAUAAAGUGAGUCUCGUGAGACUUUUUGCAUGUACCUUAUGAAUAAGGACCGGCUAAUUCCGUG